AGCUAAUAGGUUAUUCAGUGAUGGAAGCUGGUGCAUACAUGAAUGAAAUAAUUAUCAGUUCUGAUUAUUGCAUCUUUAGCUGGAUCCCAGAUUGUUCCUUCCUUAUCACAAACCAUAUUAAAUUGGACCAUAUUUAGAUAUAUCUCAAAAACAUCUUUUUUCUUUUCCCCAAAAUAAAUUAAAUUGGACCAAAUUAAUUUCAAGUUCUUUUCAAAACCCAAAAUUGGUUUCGAUUUUUCUUUCUUGUUUCACUUUGCAUGCAUA
rnacentral:misc_RNA from 1 species